CACGUAGGGUGCGAGCGUUGUCCGGAAUUAUUGGGCGUAAAGAGCUCGUAGGCGGUGUGUCGCGUCGGCCGUGAAAACCUGCAGCUUAACUGUGGGCUUGCGGUCGAUACGGGCAUCACUGGAGUUCGGCAGGGGAGACUGGAAUUCCUGGUGUAGCGGUGAAAUGCGCAGAUAUCAGGGAGGGAACACCGGUGGCGAAAGGCGGGUCUCUGGGCCGAUACUGACGCUGGAGGAGCGAAAGCCGUGGGGAGCGAACAGG
rnacentral:rRNA from 1 species